AUUGAACGCUGGCGGCAUGCUUUACACAUGCAAGUCGAACGGCAGCGCGGGCUUCGGCCUGGCGGCGAGUGGCGAACGGGUGAGUAAUGCAUCGGAACGUGCCCAGUAGUUGGGGAUAGCCCGGCGAAAGCCGGAUUAAUACCGCAUACGACCUGAGGGUGAAAGCGGGGGACCGAAAGGCCUCGCGCUAUUUGAGCGGCCGAUGUCGGAUUAGCUAGUUGGUGGGGUAAAGGCUUACCAAGGCGACGAUCCGUAGCUGGUCUGAGAGGACGACCAGCCACACUGGGACUGAGACACGGCCCAGACUCCUACGGGAGGCAGCAGUGGGGAAUUUUGGACAAUGGGGGCAACCCUGAUCCAGCCAUGCCGCGUGCGGGAAGAAGGCCUUCGGGUUGUAAACCGCUUUUGUUCGGGAAGAAAUCCUCUGGGCUAAUACCCCGGGGGGAUGACGGUACCGGAAGAAUAAGCACCGGCUAACUACGUG
rnacentral:rRNA from 1 species